UGUAUGUGUCUCUCAAAUGGCAAGCACACAAAGACUCAAAGAGAGCACACACUGUACUUAUAAACAGAAGUAAACAGAGCACAGGCUGGCUAAAAUUUCAUCUUAUGACACUGAGAAUGUUCUAAGUUUAUAGUUUAAUGGCCACUGUCAUACAGAAAGCGUGGAAGAGUGAAGAAAGGCCUGAUUGAUCACAAGGUCCUAUCAGAUGUCAAAGCUGGCUCUGGAUGACCUCGCAUCAACCCAGAGCUGCCUGAUUUUGAUCUUUACAGGAGCGGCUUCUCCUGGCUGGCAGUUCUAUCUGGAAGCCAUGCGUCAGCACUGAGCUAUGACCUGAGUCAUGCUGCAUUCAUCUUAUCUGAAGGAAGGAAAUAAAACUAGAGGGUUGAAAGAGGGGAGUGCUCAAAAUACAUACACAUUAACUGAAGCCUUUUGUGUGGGUGCAUUCUAGGAGCUUGAGCAACAUUAAAAAUGAUAUGAAAAUGUAACUAUCUUGACUCCAGUGGUAUAGCAUGGAAAUGUGC
ensembl:lincRNA Gm29137 predicted gene 29137